GGGGAUUUGGCUCAGUGGUAGAGCGCUUGCCUGGCAAGCACAAGGCCCUGGGUUCGGUCCCCAGCUCUG
rnacentral:tRNA from 1 species